UACGGAGGGGGCUAGCGUUGUUCGGAAUUACUGGGCGUAAAGAGUACGUAGGCGGUUUAUUAAGCUAGAUGUGAAAUCCCUGAGCUCAACUCAGGAACUGCAUUUAGAACUGGUAGGCUAGAGAGUGUUAGAGGUUGGUAGAAUUUCUUGUGUAGGGGCGAAAUCCGUAGAUAUAAGAAGGAAUACCGAUGGCGAAGGUAGCCAACUGGGACAUUUCUGACGCUGAGGUACGAAAGCGUGGGUAGCAAACAGG
rnacentral:rRNA from 1 species